AUUCCAGCUCCAAUAGCGUAUAUUAAAGUUGUUGCGGUUAAAAAGCUCGUAGUUGGAUUUCUGCCGAGGAUGACCGGUCCGCCCUGUGGGUGUGCAUCUGGCUCAGCCUUGGCAUCUUCCUGAAGAACGUAGCUGCACUUGACUGUGUGGUGCGGUAUUUAGGACAUUUACUUUGAGGAAAUUAGAGUGUUUCAAGCAAGCGCACGCUUUGAAUACAUUAGCAUGGAAUAAUAAGAUAGGACCUCGGUUCUAUUUUGUUGGUUUCUAGAGCUGAGGUAAUGAUUGAUAGGGAUAGUUGGGGGUGCUAGUAUUUUGCGGCCAGAGGUGAAAUUCUGUGAUUCGCGAAAGACUAACUUAUGCGAAAGCAUUCACCAAGGGUGUCUUCAUCA
rnacentral:rRNA from 1 species